ensembl:lncRNA
AGUAGAACUGAGCUCUAACUGAACUACAUUACCAAAGUCAGUAACAAACUGAGUUCAUUACUCCACAGUCCAUGGUAAAAUCCUAAGUCUCUGAAGAGACAUGGUACUGCAUAACAAUAACUGCAUUGGAACUAGUAUAAGUUUGCUCUCUUAGACGCCAGGCAGAUUUUAGGACAAGACAAAAGAGCAUGUAUACACUGAAGAAGGAAAAAAUGAGUUUUCUUAUUCCACGAAAAUAAAUCAAAGACAAGCUGUAAUAUAUGCUUCAUGAACAUUUUACAUAUAUAUUAUGUGUGCUCUUACAUAAAUUUUAUUUACUUCAGUUUCUCUGAAAGUAAAGUCCCCCAUUUGUUUCCACGGAAACUACAACAGAUACAAAGAGCACAAUAACACUGUUUGAUAGAGCAAAUCCCAGCUACAAAACACUGUUUUUCAACAUAAUCACCACCAUUAAGUGUGCAUUUUCAUCUGCCAUGAGCAAAGGCCUGCAGACUGUGCUCCUAAGAAUCUGCACCGGUGGAGGUGACCACUGACGUAGUCACCACUGCUGAAAUGCACCACUCACUGCCUCACUGUGUUCGUAUCCACUGGUUGAUCCCCAUAAACUUUGAACAAGCACUGAUGAAUUUUAAUGGGUGCCAUUUUUUUCCGCAUGGAGGAAUUCAGAGCCACACCUUUGCUUCAUCUGCACUUCCAUGGCAGACACCAAUUUGUCACACUGCCCCUCUGCUGCCAUCUGACACACGGCAACAACAUGGAAUGGAAUACUGGCAGGAAGGCUCAGCCUUUACAGCCAUAUCGCCAAUACCUGCCUCUGAUGUUAUGGGCCAACAUAAAAAAGAAGGAGGCAUUAUUUUCAGAGCAGCCCUCGUGUAUGGAAAUACCACUGAGAUAAACCUGUUCUUUUUGAACGCCAGAUUUUGACAACAACAAGAAAGAAUGGUGUUAAAUGUCACAGUGUAUGACUCAAUCUAUUUUUCUCUUACUUUUUCUUACAGAGGAACUUCCAAAUUGCUUGAACUGAAUGCCAUAUCCUCACACAAACAACCUUUCAUCCUUUUCAUAUUUAUAAUUCAAUGUUCAGCAUAUGCAAAAUACAAAGUUUUUCCAAAACAAAAGGCAUAGUUUCUGUUUUAGAGAACUAUCCAGGAAAAUCUGGGAUGAGCGUAAAGAAAUUUUUCUUCCUUAUACUUAGUAGAGCCUGUCCAAGUGACACCUACAGACACUGCUGGCAAUAAUUCUAUGACCUUAUUGAGCAACCAUUGUUUUUUUCAUUUUGAGUGAAGAGCACAUGCAUCAGCUAUUCAGAAGUAAGUCACUUCAAUCAGCAAUAAAAAGCCUUGAGGGGAAGAGGAGUUUAACAUUAUUUGAAAUGCUGAAUUGAUUAGUAAAUUGCCAUGAAUUGCUUUCAGAAAAUAUAGUCCGUAUUCAAUUAUAUUCAAACUGAUCCUUUCUGCUGCCUUCACAUAAAGACAAUAAAAUACAGUAAAAAUAUUGUUCUCUUACUCCUCAUCAGCAUGCCCAGAAAUAGGUGGUAUUGAAGACUCUUUCUAACUUCUUUUAACUGAUUCACCUCUUACCAGGUGUUGUUCUGCAAAAAGUGUAUUUUAAGUAUUCCUCGGAAUCACAGUAUCACAGCACUAUAGAGCUUGGAAGGGACCUCUAGAGAUCAUCAAGUUCCAACUCCUCUGCUGUAACACACUGCCUACAGUAGGUCACAGAGAUAGGCGCCCAGACUGGUCUUGAAUAUCUCACCCUGGGCAGCCUAUUCUGCUUUUCUGUCACUCCUGCAGCAAAGAAGUUCUUUCUUGUAUUAGCAUAGAACUUCUUGUGUUCAAGUUUUUACGCACUGUCUCUUGUUCCAUUUUUGCUCAUCACCGAAGAGUCCAUCCCCAACAACUUGACUCCCUUGAUUUCCUUUUUUUGUGGUCAGCCUCACACACACUGCCAAAACCUCUAAUACAUUUCCAGUAUCUCAUAGUGCUCCUACAGUGCUACAGUUAAAUACAGAUGUAUGAGGGUUUAAAACUCAGCGAGGUGGGAACUGGUGACUGUGGAGGAGAACUCUUGGCAGUAUUCAAAUGAAUAAUAGCAGAGCUAGUUUUGACCUCACUGAAGUCCUCCACCUUUUAAUAUAAAGCAAGGUAAAAACAAUGGAUGUGACAAACUGCAACAUUUAGAAAAGGCAAAACACCUAAUUUAGGUCAUUAGUCAAUACACAUUUGAUUAGCUUUUGACAAGCAAACUGCCCUAGACUCUUCUAGAUGGGAACGUGGAUGGGGUUGUGGGGAAGCAGCAGCAUCCUACUUUUACUGUUAACUAAGUUUGAUGUGAAGUUAUUUGCCUGAGUUUUGCGAUUUAAAGGAAUAUGCAGAAUUUACUUUGACCUUGGAGAGAACAGUGUAAAUACCCUCCAGCCCUAAACCUAUGUGAGUGGUAGGCACAAUGUGACAAGAGGCUCUCCAGCUUUACUGAAAAGUAACCUUUUGGAAAUCACCAUUUGGGCUCAUUUGAGCCUUCACUGUUUUAAUAUGUUUGGUGUGAUAGACACCCAAUGGGAGCAUUGGUAAUUAUGAGGUAGCUGGUAUGUGUUCUUCUUAAUCUUAGAGGUGAAUGGAUUAAUUUCAUGAAAAACGUCCCUUUUACUCAGAAAUAAAGGACAAAAGGAUACCAAAGAGUCACAAUCAAAUAAAUGUUUUACCAUUACAGAGCAUAUGGGGUCAAGUAGGUCUUUCCUGAGCUCCAUAUUUCUGUGCACAUCUUCUAGACCUCAUGAUGUAGAUCCGAAGUUUGAAGGUUACUCACUUCAUCUUGAAUUCAUGUCUUCUUUUUGGCAUUCCUGCUCUCUCAGUGGUCUGUCUGAAGAUAGUGAAGAAGGCAAUGGAAAUAGGUUGGGCCAAAGGAAUAGGUCAAACAAGCUGCUAGACACAGUAUUUGAUGUUGCUGUCAUUGAAAAGAGCUUUCACUUCUCUGUACUCACUUCCCAGGCAUUUCCAUCAGGGAAUGUCUCUGUCUUUGAAGGAGGACAGCAUUGAUGGAACAAAGCUUCCUGAGCUGAUCUGUCCCUCCCAUCCCAUGCUGCAAGUGCUCUGCCUCAUUCCUGCUGAGUGAGGACAGAGACUGCACUCUAGAGCUCCUUGCUCAGCUGCAACACUGACUUCAGCCUGUUCACUCAACAUUGUUUCUGAUCUACAAAGCACAGAUUAUCUGCAAACAUUUCAAAGAGCUGUUUGCUUCAACGGCUACGUCCUUAAGUUAAAAAUGUAUGUAUAUGUAUAAUAUUAUAUAUAUACAAUAUAUUAUAUUAAACACUAUGUGCAUAAAUUGUAGAUUUAACUAGACUGGAUACCAGUAUCACAGUAUGCAUGGACAAUCUAAAAUGUUUUAACAAAAAAAAAAAAAAAAAAAAA